rnacentral:rRNA from 1 species
CGGGACGGGUGAGUAACGCGUGGGUAACCUGCCUUGUACAGGGGGAUAACAGUUGGAAACGGCUGCUAAUACCGCAUAAGCGCACAGCAUCGCAUGAUGCAGUGUGAAAAACUCCGGUGGUAUAAGAUGGACCCGCGUUGGAUUAGCUAGUUGGUGAGGUAACGGCCCACCAAGGCGACGAUCCAUAGCCGACCUGAGAGGGUGACCGGCCACAUUGGGACUGAGACACGGCCCAA